GUGCCAGCGCCGCGGUAAUACCGGCAGCCCAAGUGAUGGCCGCUGUUAUUGGGCCUAAAGCGUCCGUAGCUGGCCGCGCAAGUCCAUCGGGAAAUCCACCCGCCCAACGGGUGGCCGUCCGGUGGAAACUGCACGGCUUGGGACCGGAAGGCGCGACGGGUACGUCCAGGGUAGGAGUGAAAUCCCGAAAUCCUGGACGGACCGCCGGUGGCGAAAGCGCCUCGGGAGGACGGACCCGACGGUGAGGGACGAAAGCCAGGGUCUCGAACCGGAUUAGAAACCCCGGUAGUCC
rnacentral:rRNA from 1 species